UAAACAGUGUCUCAAAAUCUCAAUGCUGAAACCUGCCGGACAGGGACCGAAAGUCAGGUUCCAGGAUGAAACCAUCCACAAAAGCUGAGAAGAACAAAGACUGCCAGCUGUGCUCCAGCCCUCCCACAGUGAGACCAGUGUGGCUAAUAGUGAAGAUGGCUGCCCACAGGAGGCCAGGUUACACUGGUGUCCACAGCUGAGUGUCAGUCAGCCGACAGUCAAGAAAGGGCUGUUUCUCGUUCACCGUAAGGGGCUGCAGGGUCACACUGUGUCUCACUGAGUCACACCCUCCACCUUCUCGAGUGGUUUCCAAAAAACAUUUCUGAUCUGUGUUCAACGGGAAGGCGCAAGUGGCUGUGUCUGAUCUUCACAGGGGAACUGCAAAGCUAUUUUUCAUAUUUCCAGGUUAGACAGAAUCUGCGAUGAUGAGUGCAUUUCCAGAAACACUAAAAGUAAAAUGUAC